GACGAACGCUGGCGGCGUGCUUAACACAUGCAAGUCGAACGGGAUUUAGUAGACAGAAGCCUCGGCUAAAGAUUACUAAUGAGAGUGGCGAACGGGUGAGUAACGCGUGAGCAACCUGCCUAUGACAGUGGGAUAGCCUCGGGAAACCGGGAUUAAUACCGCAUAAAAUCGUAGAAACACAUGUUUUAACGGUCAAAGAUUUAUCGGUCAUAGAUGGGCUCGCGUCUGAUUAGCUAGUUGGUGAGAUAACAGCCCACCAAGGCGACGAUCAGUAGCCGGUCUGAGAGGAUGCACGGCCACAUUGGAACUGAGACACGGUCCAAACUCCUACGGGAGGCAGCAGUGGGGAAUAUUGCACAAUGGGGGAAACCCUGAUGCAGCGACGCCGCGUGAACGAAGAAGGUAUUCGUAUCGUAAAGUUCUGUCCUAUGGGAAGAUAAUGACAGUACCAUAGAAGAAAGCUCCGGCUAAAUACGUG
rnacentral:rRNA from 1 species